GCUCCUUAGUUUUAUUUCUGACUUCAGCAAAGAUGAGUCACGGAGACCGUUACACCUCGUCGUCCUACCGGAAGAUUUUCGGGGAUUCUCCCAAGUUCCCCGCGGCCUCCUCCCGCAUGGGCAGCGCCUCUCACCGGGGCUCCCCGGGGCUCCGGGCCAUGGCUGGCUCCCGCAACAGCGGGUCCUCCCUGAGCCUGUACAGACGGAUCGGCCGCUCCACCUCUUACUCUCCGGUACCCAGUGACUCCCUUGACUUGACCCAGACCUCCGUGGUCAACAAUGAAUUCAAAGUUAUUAGAACUAACGAGAAGGAGCAGCUGCAGGGCCUGAACGACCGCUUCGCCGUCUUCAUUGAUAAAGUGCGCCACCUGGAGCAGCAGAACAAGGUGCUGGAGGUGGAGCUGGUGGCGCUGCGGCAGAAGCAGGGCGAGCCGUCCCGCGUGGCUCACCUCUACCAGCAGGAGCUGAUAGAACUACGCUCGCAGGUGGAUGAGCUGAGCCGGGACAAGAACCGCAUCCUGAUAGAAAGGAACAACAUGGAGGACGAGCUGCAGAAGCUCAGUGUGAAGUAUGAUGAGGAGAUGAGGGUCCGGGAGGAAGCUGAGCAGACCUUGAGGUCCUUCCGGAAGGAUGUGGAUGACGCCACAGCCGUCCGCCUGGACCUGGAGCGCCGAGUGGAGUCCCUGAUGGAUGAGAUCUCCUUCCUGAGGAAAGUGCACGAUGAGGAAAUCCAGGAGCUGAGCAGCAUGAUGGAGGAACAGCACGUCUCCGUGGAGCUCGAACCCGCCAAACCGGACCUCACCUCAGCUCUGAAGGAGAUCCGCAACCAGUACGAGUCCAUUGCCUCCAAAAACCUGCAGUCUGCCGAGGAGUGGUACAAGGGCAAGUUCGCCAGCCUCAGCGAGCAGGCCGCCAGGACCAACGAGGCCAUGCGGGCCAGCAGGGAGGAGAUCAGUGAGUUCAGGAGGCAGCUGCAGUCCAAGACAAUCGAGAUAGAGUCCCUGAGGAGCGCCAACGAGUCUUUGGAGAGGCAGAUCACAGAGAUGGAGGACGCACACAACGCCGAAGUCACCGCCAUGCAGGCAGAUUUUCUCAUUUACCUCUUCUGGACACUAUUGGCCACCUGGAUACUGAGCUGAGGAACAUGAAGGGUGAGAUGGCCCAGCACCUGAGAGAGUAUCAAGACCUGCUCAAUGUCAAGAUGGCCCUGGAUAUAGAGAUAGCUGCCUACAGGAAACUGCUGGAGGGGGAGGAGACUCACUUUAACUCAGGGAUAUCGUUUGGUGCUGCCAGCUACAGCUACCAGCCUCGGGCGUCAGUGUCCAGGAGCAGCCAGAGGGAGAAAGAGGGGGCCACCAAGGAGAGCUUCAAGGAGAGCAGUGAGGAUAAAGAUGAGGCAGACAUCAACUCCAACAACUGAAGGAAGACAGGCAGGGAAAGUGGGAAAAGAGCUACGCCGUAUAUGUAUAGUGAGUUCAUUGUCACAUACUGUAUUUAAGUUCAACACUAAGACGUUUUGGAGUUAGAGCUGGGUUAUUACCAAUGUCUUGUAGCUGAAACAUUUGUGUAUUAAACACAACAUUGGACGUUUUCCCUGGGACGUACUGUAGGUCUCAGCAUUUAGACUCAUCUAGGCUUCAUUGCGUGUAUUUCAUACAUCAUUUAUGUAUCAUUGAAAUACAAAUUUAGAAGGUACAAUGAUCAUAUGUAGGUCACAUGAAGUGAGGAACCUCAAACAAGCAACUAAAGCACUUAUUACCAAAGGAAAAUGACCUGAAAAUCUAGAACAAUUGUACUGUACGUCCCUAGAGGAAAUUAACAUGCUGCAAAUAAAAAUAAUAAAAAUAUGUGACCAGGUGUUAAAGGUUCAGGGGAUGGAUUCUUGGCCUGUCUGGGUUGCUCAAAUAGACUUAAUUUCUUAAAAGAAAGAUACCAAAUGUCUGUGUAGUGCCACUUCUGUUGUUGCAGCAUCCUUUCAGUGAAGUUAGUUGUUAAAUGUGAUGUCCUUCAUGUCUAAGUUUGAGCUUUUACGUGAGAGAGGUAAGGUUCAAAGUGUAUAGCAACAGUCAAUCCAUAUUUAUGAAAGCACUUUAGGGUGUAUGGAGGACGACAGUGUCUUGCAUUGUGUUCGGUUGUAUCGUAUGGCAUUACAAAGGCUGGUUAACAUGGUUUAUUGUGAUGUACAUAGUGCAUUAGCUGUGAAAAACAUUCAGAACAUGCAGUCCAGCUGGUAGUACAUAUCAUCUCACCUGGCUGCAGUGUCAGUGUAUACACCGAGUGGAAAACCACUCACUGUUGGUUUAGUUGCACUGAAUAACACAAUGAAUAAAAUAACGCAACGAAUAAAAUGA